CGGCCUAGAAGGCCAGAGGAGGGCUUGGCCAGUGACUUUUGGCUCAGGACGCCGUCGACCUCCACCCAGCGGUAACAAGGGAACCUGACCUCGUCCCCGGCUCCGGGGCCCUACACGGAGAUCCAGCUGCAGAACCUGAAGGAAGUGACGUUUGCGCAGUUUCACAAACAUCAGCGGCCCCAGGUGAUAAAGCCUGAAAGGUAGAGAUCCAACAGCGCUAGCGGUUGAAACGUUUUUUAAAAUAGAGAAAGCGAGAGGACCGACGGCGGCUCCGGUGACUGCUGAGUUUCCAGACAAGGGAGCUCUGUGCAAUGAGGGGCGCACAGGAGCAUGCCCUCAAUUCCAAGAAGAUCAGGUAGCCGGAAAAUUUAUUAAGCGCUUACUGUGUGCCACCUGCGUGUUUUCUGUCCAAAUCAGAAAAGGAUUUGGACAGAAAACACGCAGGAAGAAGGAAUCAACCCCUGGUACAGCAGGCAGGCGAGGUAGGGGUAGGAGUUAUGCACGUGUAUGCAAGCCUGGAUGGCUGGGAAGCCAACCUCCAUCUAAAGGCAAGCGCGGACAUGCACACACACACACACGCCUCACAAGUUGGAUUGCAAGAGAGGGUGAAGUGGGCGAGGAGACCCAGUCAGCCGUGGCAUUUGAGGAAGGUACAUUUAGGCCACCGAAUUCAUUCCACCAACUUUGCACACUUGUCUUCCUUGUGCCAGGCUCUGGGACUCAUUCCUUUUGAGGGUAAAAGUCUGCCUCCCUGGACUCCUGCCCCUCAGGCGCUCCCACAGCCCGGCACCGCCCCCUCGCCAUUCCGGAGCCAGCGCGGGCUAAGCGGGCCUGGCCGGGGAUGAGCGGAGCCACCGUCCCCAUAUUCCUCGGUGCCCCGGGACCGCAAGAGGGAGCCGUGGUUUCCGGAACUCCUCCCGCCCCUCCGGGCUUUUCCUCUGUUAGGCAGGUGGCGAUUCGCUGUCUUUGCCUGUUAUGGCCGCUGCCGUCGCCCUGGAGACAGCUGGCUGGCUGGCUGGCAACUGGAGGCCUUUCUGUCCUGGCUGAGGGCCCUGG
rnacentral:lncRNA from 1 species